rnacentral:sRNA from 1 species
GAGCAUUUCUCUCGCGAGAUCUUCUCUGUGGCGGAGACAGCCAGAACUUAAGGCAUACAGAACGAUGGAGUAUAUGACAGAAUCCACCGACCGCAGCCCUGGACACAUCUUGUGCUGUGAGUGUGGUGUUCCGAUAAGUCCAAAUCCUGCCAAUAUUUGUGUGGCCUGUUUGCGAAGUAAAGUGGACAUCAGCCAAGGUAUUCCGAAACAAGUCUCGAUUUCGUUCUGCAAACAAUGUCAAAGGUAUUUUCAACCACCAGGAACUUGGAUACAGUGUGCUUUAGAAUCCAGGGAACUUCUUGCUUUGUGCUUGAAAAAAAUCAAAGCCCCUCUGAGUAAGGUACGGCUUGUAGAUGCAGGCUUUGUUUGGACUGAGCCUCAUUCUAAGAGACUUAAAGUUAAACUGACUGUUCAGAAAGAGGUGAUGAAUGGUGCUAUCCUUCAACAAGUGUUUGUGGUGGAUUAUGUUGUUCAGUCCCAAAUGUGUGGAGAUUGCCAUAGAGUAGAAGCUAAGGAUUUCUGGAAGGCUGUGAUUCAAGUGAGGCAAAAGGUAAUGAAAGAUGAUGAUGAGUGAGUCCUACAUCUUAUAUUUCAUCUUUG